rnacentral:rRNA from 1 species
GAUGAACGCUGGCGGCGUGCCUAAUACAUGCAAGUCGAGCGAACAGAUAAGGAGCUUGCUCCUUUGACGUUAGCGGCGGACGGGUGAGUAACACGUGGGUAACCUACCUAUAGACUGGGAUAACUUCGGGAAACCGGAGCUAAUACCGGAUAACAUUUGGAACCGCAUGGUUCUAAAGUGAAAGAUGGUUUUGCUAUCACUUAUAGAUGGACCCGCGCCGUAUUAGCUAGUUGGUAAGGUAACGGCUUACCAAGGCGACGAUACGUAGCCGACCUGAGAGGGUGAUCGGCCACACUGGAACUGAGACACGGUCCAGACUCCUACGGGAGGCAGCAGUAGGGAAUCUUCCGCAAUGGGCGAAAGCCUGACGGAGCAACGCCGCGUGAGUGAUGAAGGGUUUCGGCUCGUAAAACUCUGUUAUUAGGGAAGAACAAACGUGUAAGUAACUGUGCACGUCUUGACGGUACCUAAUCAGAAAGCCACGGCUAACUACGUG